rnacentral:rRNA from 1 species
AUGACAAGUAUUUUCGGACGGAGGGAGGAGGGAGUACCAAGUAGUUGCAUUGCGACCUUCAGUGUUAGGUCGGUAGUUGGGGAAUUAAAUGAGAAGACAAUGAUAAUCCUACCAAAUGCUUUUCUGACUAUAUAUCACAGUACUCAAGCUAAUCAUCCUAGCUACCAGCGAGCAAGGAAGCAACCAAAGAAGAGAAAUAGCCUGCCAGCUUGUGCAGCAAUGGAGCAGCUUGAAGACCCCUGCAACACUAAAAAGGGAGGGGUGGGUGGGAGGAGGAGGAGUAGAGAAUCACCAUCAGUCGAAGGACGGCGAAGGAGUUGGUGUCACAGGCGACGACCCCUGCCAGGCGCAGUGGUCGCGGCCGCCGUCCCAGUCGACGAGCGUGUUAGCGGCGUUGCCGAAGCCCGCCUUGACAGACAUUAG